rnacentral:rRNA from 1 species
CACGUAGGGGGCAAGCGUUGUCCGGAUUUAUUGGGCGUAAAGGGCUCGUAGGCGGUUUGUCGCGUCGGGAGUGAAAACACCGGGCUUAACUCGGUGCUUGCUUUCGAUACGGGCAGACUAGAGGCGUGCAGGGGAGAACGGAAUUCCUGGUGUAGCGGUGAAAUGCGCAGAUAUCAGGAGGAACACCGGUGGCGAAGGCGGUUCUCUGGGCAUGUCCUGACGCUGAGGAGCGAAAGUGUGGGGAGCGAACAGG